UGGGGAAUAUUGGACAAUGGGCGAAAGCCUGAUCCAGCCAUGCCGCGUGUGUGAAGAAGGUCUUCGGAUUGUAAAGCACUUUAAGUUGGGAGGAAGGGCAGUAAGCGAAUACCUUGCUGUUUUGACGUUACCGACAGAAUAAGCACCGGCUAACUCUGUGCCAGCAGCCGCGGUAAUACAGAGGGUGCAAGCGUUAAUCGGAAUUACUGGGCGUAAAGCGCGCGUAGGUGGUUCGUUAAGUUGAAUGUGAAAGCCCCGGGCUCAACCUGGGAACUGCAGCAAAAACUGGCGAGCUAGAGUAGGGCAAAGGGUGGUGGAAUUUCCUGUGUAGCGGUGAAAUGCGUAGAUAUAGGAAGGAACACCAGUGGAGAAGGCGACCACCUGGGCUCAUACUGACACUGAGGUGCGAAAGCGUGGGGAGCAAACAGG
rnacentral:rRNA from 1 species